GAGGCAUUUAUGUAAUUCCACUUGCUCAUUGAAUUCAAAUGCAAUCAGAAUUUGCAAGGAAAGCCAAUGGACUUGACGUGAAAAGGUGACGUUGCUGAAACCCUUUCAGUGGAGUUUACGGACAGAAGGUAGAAUGUUGAGGUUUGAGGGGGUGGAAGUGGCAAUGAGGAUGCUGAGAAGAGACGAUCGUCAGGAAGUGAGGCAGUGAAGCAAUCACUAAGAAGGAAAGUAGAUUGGAACUCAGACAACAGAGCUGUGAUGGGACCUUUUUAUUCACGAUGAGAGCUCAACAAUUUCAAGAUGAAGGGAGGGCUGAGAGGCAGAAGGAAAAUCGCUGAGGGCUCUCAUGAGCCCAGCAGAGAGGAGGAGCUGCUGUCUGUACUAAAGCCAGAAGGCUUGGGAAUGGAGAGAGCUACUCCUGCCUCAGAGUAGCAGAGAACGAG
rnacentral:lncRNA from 1 species